AAGCUGUUAACCUAUUGUGGAAUGUUAAGAAACACAAAUUAAUAACUAUCCUUAUAAAUGGUCAAGUUCAUUAAUUAUAGCCAUGCUAAAUGACACUGAUAUAAUUAAAUAUAGGGAUAAAACUUACUUAGGCCCCAGUAUGUGAUUUUAAAAUUUAAUCGUAAAGCAAGAAACAAAGUUAAGUAUUCAGAUAUACCUGGACGGCCUUCAAAUACUUCAGAGAUCAGCAGAUACUGCAUUUAAAAUGUUUAUUAAAAGUUUAUUUUAUCAGACAGACACUCCCAGAUCCUGACAGUGACUCAAGGUCUCCUAAGAAGAUGCCACCACUUGGAUUUGACAAAGCUGACUGUUGGGCAAGACGCCCCAAUCCAACAUCUGCUCCCAGGACCCAGCUCAAACUAUGGACAAGCAACAGGACACUGGAGAAGAGAUCACACCUCUUUUGCCUAGACAAAAUAAGGUCUAUCUUACCCAUGUUCCUCCACUGAAAAGACUGUCACCUUAUGGGCCUGCUGAAGACUGCUAUUCUGAUAUUUCUGCCUUAAAAGCUAUGGAGACCUGGGUAUGGCUAACUGGGUAUGAACUGGUUCCCGGCAUUUUUAGUAGAUCUUGAAGCUGCUUGGUCUACACUCAGGUAUAAUUUAUCCUUCUUGGAUCUCUGAUAGUACUGAUGGCUGGGCUAGCUAUAACUUUGUCAGGUUAGCAGUAGGCAACCAAGUUCUUUUUUUUUUUUUUUUUUUUUGAUUUUUCGAGACAAGGUUUCUCUGUGGCUUUGGAGCCUGUCCUGGAACUAGCUCUUGUAGACCAGGCUGGUCUCGAACUCACAGAGAUCCGCCUGCCUCUGCCUCCCGAGUGCUGGGAUUAAAGGCGUGAGCCACCACCGCCCGGCUGGCAACCAAGUUCUUUAAAGCCAUAUAGUUAGUUCAUUUUAUAUGUAAAAUCAAGCCUUGAUAUGUAUCUUUAAAAUAGGGUCUGAGGAUAUAAAAGCUUAUAAACUUUGAGGGUGCCAAAAAUGAUUUGCAAUGUAAAUGCAAGUUAUAAAAUGCAAAUAAAUACCUUAAGAUAUAAACCAUGUUUUAUAUUGAUUUCCUCUUCUAUAUUCAGAGUUUAGCAUUUAAUAGAGUUCUGAUAAAACUAGCAAAGCAGUGACUACUUAUUGUUCAGUCAAAUGUGCAAGAUUUUGGAUUUAUUUUGGUUACCAAAUAAUAUAAACUUAAAGUGCUUCUUAUCAGGCCAAAGAUAUCUCUGUACAAUCUAUACAUGGAUCUCAGAAUAGAAGAAAAAUGCACAUGCUAUUAACCCAAAUCUGUAGUUUUGGCUAGAACUCAAAUAUAUGAGUCUAUUUCUGCUGUUUUACAGAUACCCAUUACCUGAUUUUUUACAAUAUAGAUUUCAGUACACAUUGGUGAUACUAACAUAUCUAAAACUUUUGUGUCUUUUCUAAAAUAAAAAUUCAUAUAGGCUUCAGAAGAAAAAAAAACUGCAUCCAUUUCUCACAGGUCAAAAGGAUUCCAGAUAAGUACAACCUUGUCAGGAGCCAUUUCAGACUUCUCCUUUCUCACAGGGCCUUGAAGUAAAAUCUUUGAGACAGAAAACUUAAAGUUAACCAAAACACUACAUGCUAACCUUGGAGACUCAAGCUCUGGAAAGCACCACAGAGUGUCUUCAUUGCUUGCUGCUUAUCACUAACAGCAGGUGUUCUAGCCACUGACCUAGCAACUGCCCAGCUUAGCUGCCUAGCUGCCAAAUACCUUCCCCCUUCCCCAGUUCCUCCUGCCCGAGUUCCUCACUGAGGAGUAUAUAAGACAAAAAGCUUGCUUCAAUAAAGGAAGACCUUGACAAAUUGAGAACAGAAUUCUGUUUGGCUUGCUUGGUCUUCUUCCCCUCUCUCUCCCAUGUUCUUUCAGAUAGCGCCCCUUCAGACCCUGGAAUAACUGGACCUGCUGGGCAGGUUACACAACCUAAGAUUUCCCCACCUGUCUAUUCCAGAGGAUGAUUAUUUUCUUUCCCCUAGUCUUGGCACACCUUCCCUUCCCACUUACUAAGACUAUGGACCUGAAAGUUUCAAAUGUAAUAUUUUCCUUUAAGUUCAUAAAUUUUAACUUCUGUUCCAAGUUUAAAUGUGUUUCAACAGGUUUCCACUUGACUAACAGACACAUCCAAGCAUCAACUGUGGACUACAAUCUGCUCCAAACUAUUACAAGCCCUGGACUUGCUGAAAGUUUAUGUGGACCAUUGUAGUCCUUGUUUCUUCAGUGAAGCCAGCAAACUAAAUGCUUCUGAUAAUGCCCCAUUGAUGAUUCAGGUUUGACAAACGGUCUUUGAGAAAGUCAUCAAAGCUCUGAGACCAUGAAUUUUCCUUUUCACUUUGGCCUCCAAUUAACUCCAAUUCUCAGUGGAAUCUGAGGAGGAUAACUAUAUGUUAUUCUUUGGGACCACGAGGGGUGUGUCCACCCACUGAAACGGUGAGACUGAUCUAAUGGGAGAUCACCAAGGCCAGUUGGACUGGAACUGAUGGAGCAUGUGAUCAAUCUGGACUCUCUGAAUGUGGCUGAAGGUGGAGGCUGAUGGAGAAGCCAAGGACAAUGGCGCUGGGUUUUGAUUCUACUGCAUGGACGGGCUUUGUGGGAGCCUAGUCUGUUUGGGUGCUCACCUUCCUGGACCUGGGAGGAUCAGGGAGGACCUUGGACUUCCUAUAGGGUAGGGAACCCUGACUGCUCCUUGGACUAGAGAUGGAGGGGGAGGAGGGAUGGGGGGAGUGGAGGGAAGUGGGAGGAGGGAAGGAGGUGGAAAUUUUCAAUAAAAAAAUAAAUUAAUUAAAAAUAAAACCAAAAAAAAAACAAAGAAAGGAAAUCAGAUUGAGAAAGACAUGAAUGAAUCAGGAAGCAGCAUUUAUCUACAAUAUCUGCAUCAGAUCUUUCCUUCCAGGUUUCUGCCUUGAGGUUCUACCCUGACUUCUGUAGGUGAUGGACUGUGAUCUGAGGAUUGUAAGCUGAAAUACACCUAUUCCUCUCUGAACUGUUUGUGGUCAUGGUGUUUUAUAACAGUAAAUAAACCCUAACUGAGAUACCCACAUAACUAAAUUCCCCACAAAACACAGGUGAAUGACAGUCUCUUCUAUGUGUGACAUCAUCAGAUCUAUCAAGUAUUCCAUUAACCACAUGUCAAUGCAAAACAACUCAAUGAAAUAGGUAAAACAUUAUCCCAGGGUGGACAUCAGUUGAAGUAAUCUCAUUAAACUAUUGAUUGACCUCUAAAAUUAUUUCAAAAAAGCAAAGCUUGCAAUGAAAUUAAACAAAAUUUGAAAAUAUUAUUUAUCUAUUUAUGUGUUACUAACUGAUCAAAUAUGCUCUUUUACUAAAAAACUUUUCAGAUUUGGCCUUUAUAACAUAGAUCACCUAGUAUUUCUCAUUAUAAAAAUAGUAGAUAGCAUACAUUCAGGUAGGGAAAAAAGAACUAGAAACUUUGAUUGGUCAAAGUGAUUUAAAAGAGAAUAAAAUGCCCCAGUCUAAGAAGUAAUAAUUAUAAAAGUAAUAGUGAGUAAAACUGAAAUUAAAAUUCAAUUUUAAAAUAGACACAUUAUCAAUUUUAAAUUUUUUAAAAAGAAAAAUAUAACCCAUUGGUUUUCACACCAGCCCUGGAAUGAAGAUUCCAUGGCCUUGUAAUUGUCCCUCCGGAGUGGAAAGUAUGCUACCCCUGAGAGGUCCUAUUCUAAAGCCACUCUUCCACAAAGUUUCGUACAAUGGUGGGAACUAAAAAUGUCCUUCCUCAAUUGUGUCUGACACAGAAGGAAAUGUCUACUGCUAAUUAAAAAUAAUGUUGUGAUAAAGAACAGAACGGAACAUUCAUUUAAUCAAAUUCCUCAAGCCAUUUAUAGACAUAAAGAAAAGGAAAUGACCUAUUAAAGGAAGGUGUAAUCCAUAAAUCCAGAUCAUAAAGUCCCAAACUAUGAGACUUUCUUAAACAUAUUUUCACAGGAUAUUUUUAAUAUUCUGAAAACAAUUACAGGAUAGAAGUUACUGAAAAAGUUUAACAGCCUGAUGUAAUGAGUGAAUCUUGUUUUGUUCAUUUUUCCAACACAGCUGAAGACAUAUUUUUCCGAUAAUUAGAUGGAAGUUGAAUAUAGACUGUCUAUUAAACGAUAUUAAAGAAUGGUAGUUCAUUAGUUGGGUGUUACAGUGAGAUGACAGUUUUGUAAAAAAAAAAAAAAUUCUUUUCAGCCAAAGAUACACAUUAAGUGAAAUAGCAUGGGAGUUUCUGUAAAGUACUUAAGGAAGAAAGGAAGGGAGGGAUAGGAUAUGAAAUAAAAUGAACAAAA